rnacentral:rRNA from 1 species
GACGAACGCUGGCGGCGUGCUUAACACAUGCAAGUCGAACGGAAAGGCCCUGCUUUUGUGGGGUGCUCGAGUGGCGAACGGGUGAGUAACACGUGAGUAACCUGCCCUUGACUUUGGGAUAACUUCAGGAAACUGGGGCUAAUACCGGAUAGGAGCUCCUGCUGCAUGGUGGGGGUUGGAAAGUUUCGGCGGUUGGGGAUGGACUCGCGGCUUAUCAGCUUGUUGGUGGGGUAGUGGCUUACCAAGGCGUUGACGGGUAGCCGGCCUGAGUGGGUGACCGGCCACAUUGGGACUGAGAUACGGCCCAGACUCCGACGGGAGGCAGCAGUGGGGAAUAUUGCACAAUGGGCGGAAUCCUGAUGCAGCAACGCCGCGUGCGAGAUGACGGCCUUCGGGUUGUAAACCGCUUUCGCCUGUGACGAAGCGUGAGUGACGGUAAUGGGUAAAGAAGCACCGGCUAACUACGUG